rnacentral:rRNA from 1 species
CCCUUAGAUGUCCUGGGCCGCACGCGCGCUACACUGAUACGUUCAACGAGCUCCCCUUGGUCGAGAGGCCUAGGUAAUCUUUUGAACGCGUAUCGUGAUAGGGAUAGACCUUUGCAAUUAUUGGUCUUGAACGAGGAAUUCCUAGUAAACGCGAGUCAUCAGCUCGCAUUGAUUACGUCCCUGCCCUUUGUACACACCGCCCGUCGCACCUACCGAUUGAAUGGUCCGGUGAAAUCUCGGGACGGCGGCUUGGUCGCUUGCGUCCGACUGCUGAAACUUGAUUAAACCAUAUCAUUUAGAGGAAGGUGAANUCGUANCA